ensembl:lncRNA
GAUAUGAAGUUUAUUCCAAUUACAUGGGAGUCCAAGAUAAUGCAUAUCCUUACCCAGUAAAUAGCUAAGUCAUGCUCUGGGUCUCUGCAGAAGUCAAGGACCAACAAAAUGUGGAUUUGCAAACCAGCUGCUCUUAAACAUAAAGUCUCUGGACUUCUACUCUCUUUUAGACUUAGAACUAGAUAUUAUAACAAGUUGCACACAAAGGCAAUUCCCUUGCAGUUUGUUUUGUUCCCUAUGAUGACUUACAUGUUAAAUUAACCUUGCCUCAUGAUAAACUGUGGAUCAAUUCAAAGAAAACUUCACUAACGUGAAAGAAAUGAAAGGGUGUCAAAGAGCAUUUUGGAAACAGUUUAAAAUCUAAAGGGAAGGCAUAUUUUAACACUCUAUGCAUUUAGUUUUGCAGCAAGGUUAGCCAGAAUAGUGAUAAUUUUGAUCACUACUUAUUGACCAGUGUUUUUCCCUUUAAAGACAGAUUGUCUUCUCUAGAGAAGAGGUAGUAAAUAUAUCAGUACAUAGGGUAAUUUCUAUAAUGGUAUUACAUUUUUUAAGCAAAUACCAAAAUAAAACUGUGUAACUAAGAAAAUAUAUACUAACAUGCAAAUUAAGGUUGCCAAGAAACAUUCUUAAUGGACAUCCUGGGUCUUAACAACAUUUUGUGAUAUGUUCAUUUAAAGAGUUUAAAUUUGCAAACCAUCUUUUAGAAUAAUUUCCUUUUCUUACUUCCUUUCACUGCCUCCACUUCCUAUUAUGAAUUUUAAGGCCCCCACACAAAAGACAAGUUCAAGUAUGCAGGUAUGAAAAGAGGUUAACAUUCCAAAAAUACAUUUUGCAACAACAACAACAAUUAAAUAGCAGAUUAUUUAAAGGGAACAAAUAAUUGUCUCAGAAUUUGUUUCACAUUAAUAAAAUUCGUUUCAUUAAAGACUAACUGCAAUGACUUAUAUAGUCACAAAAUUAAGACUCUUAGUAGGAAAGACCAUCAGUCUAAAUUGUGAACAAUUUCAACCUUCUCUCCAAUAGAACUGUAUAAAGAUAAGAGAGAAUCAUCACUUAUAAACAUUUCUAAGUGUUGCUUUAAAUGUUAAACAAGAUAAUGUUGUUGGUUAUAAUAUUAGAGUCACAUUAUACCCUUGAGAAUUAACAUCAGGAUUGACAAAUUGCAUUCCUUUUUUUUUCCAGAACUACAUUUCCACAUUCUCACAUGAGUCCAUAUUAUUAUAUGUCUGUGACUGAAAUUACAGAAUUCUAGUAUGUGGCUUGUACUGUAAGUUAAAACAGCCUCCAAACAGUAAAAGACUUGUUUCUCCUGCCUAUAAUCAUUUGCUAUCUUUAAAUGAAAUUAAUUAAAAACAAAGUAUUUAUGGAAUAUGUAUUUUUCAAAGGUGCUUGGUGUGCUUGGCAAAAAUAAAACUUUUCAUUUAGUAUAUAUCUAGAUUUUAAGUAUCAUUUACACAAUAAACUCUUAAGUCUUUAAAAAAAAUAAGAUGUAUAUCCCCUUAUCUGAGGAAGAUAAACUUAUUACAGAAGGAAGGGGAAAGAAUAUGUCAAAUUAAAGUAAACAUUUAAAUAUAUCCAUCAAUAAAAUAUACAUUAUACCCUUUCCAAGAUUGUCAGCUUUUGAGUAAGAAUGCAAAGCAAAACAGGUAUGGACAUCUGACGGUAAAUGAUAGAUUGGUUUUGUGCACAGAUAUUGAAUGAGCCUCUCCUUAUCGGCAUGACAUGGAAGACUAAAAACAAGGCUUUGAGAGGCCUUUAAAAACAAGUGACUUUUAAAAAGUUGAAAGAAGAUGGUAAUCUUGAUGACUAGGAAAUAUAUGUAAAUGCUGUUACAGCUACCUGCCAUAAAAUGUAAAUAUCUUAAAGUAGUUAAAUGACCAAAUUGCUAAUGCUACUACAGAAAAAGCUGAACAGCUGUCUAGUCUAAAUUUAUACACCUUGGUGCACUCUUUGCAAUUAAAUACUUUAAUGCGCACAAACAAGAAACCAGUAAAGCAUAUAGAAAAAUGUUUUGGCUAAUGUUUUCUUUCUCAUGCAAGUAUGUGCUGUACAUGUAAUAAAUAUAUUUUUGUUUGCUGGAAGAUGCUCUUCUGUGUUCUAACAAAGUAUUCAGUAAUGGCAGGUUAUAUGUUUAUUAAAGUGCCUAAUGGAUAUAACUCUUUUAAAAUGUCUUAACUGAAAGUUUUAUAAGCUUCACUAGAUGACAGAAGAAUCUCACAAGCCAGUAUCACAUGUUAACUUUUAAAAUUUACUAAGCCCAUAUUUUUUAAUUGUAUCAAAUAUUUGAAAUG